GAUGAACGCUGGCGGCGUGCUUAACACAUGCCAGUCGAACGGUGAAGCAGAGCUUGCUCUGUGGAUCAGUGGCGAACGGGUGAGUAACACGUGAGCAACCUGCCCCUGACUCUGGGAUAAGCGCUGGAAACGGCGUCUAAUACUGGAUAUGAGCUGCGACCGCAUGGUCAGCAGUUGGAAAGAUUUUUCGGUCUGGGAUGGGCUCACGGCUUAUCAGCUUGUUGGUGAGGUAAUGGCUCACCAAGGCGUCGACGGGUAGCCGGCCUGAGAGGGUGACCGGCCACACUGGGACUGAGACACGGCCCAGACUCCUACGGGAGGCAGCAGUGGGGAAUAUUGCACAAUGGGCGAAAGCCUGAUGCAGCAACGCCGCGUGAGGGAUGACGGCCUUCGGGUUGUAAACCUCUUUUAGCAGGGAAGAAGCGAAAGUGACGGUACCUGCAGAAAAAGCGCCGGCUAACUACGUG
rnacentral:rRNA from 1 species